UGGCGGCGUGCUUAACACAUGCAAGUCGAACGAUGAACCGCUUUCGGGCGGGGAUUAGUGGCGAACGGGUGAGUAACACGUGGGCAAUCUGCCCUGCACUCUGGGACAAGCCCUGGAAACGGGGUCUAAUACCGGAUAUGACUGUCCAUCGCAUGGUGGAUGGUGUAAAGCUCCGGCGGUGCAGGAUGAGCCCGCGGCCUAUCAGCUUGUUGGUGAGGUAGUGGCUCACCAAGGCGACGACGGGUAGCCGGCCUGAGAGGGCGACCGGCCACACUGGGACUGAGACACGGCCCAGACUCCUACGGGAGGCAGCAGUGGGGAAUAUUGCACAAUGGGCGAAAGCCUGAUGCAGCGACGCCGCGUGAGGGAUGACGGCCUUCGGGUUGUAAACCUCUUUCAGCAGGGAAGAAGCGAAAGUGACGGUACCUGCAGAAGAAGCGCCGGCUAACUACGUGCCAGCAGCCGCGGUAAUACGUAGGGCGCAAGCGUUGUCCGGAAUUAUUGGGCGUAAAGAGCUCGUAGGCGGCUUGUCACGUCGGUUGUGAAAGCCCGGGGCUUAACCCCGGGUCUGCAGUCGAUACGGGCAGGCUAGAGUUCGGUAGGGGAGAUCGGAAUUCCUGGUGUAGCGGUGAAAUGCGCAGAUAUCAGGAGGAACACCGGUGGCGAAGGCGGAUCUCUGGGCCGAUACUGACGCUGAGGAGCGAAAGCGUGGGGAGCGAACAGGAUUAGAUACCCUGGUAGUCCACGCCGUAAACGGUGGGCACUAGGUGUGGGCAACAUUCCACGUUGUCCGUGCCGCAGCUAAC
rnacentral:rRNA from 1 species